GCCAGUGUGGCACAGUGGUUUGAGUGUUAGACUACAACUUUAAUGACCAGGGUUCAAUUCCCAGCUCAGCCA